AUUGAACGCUGGCGGCAGGCUUAACACAUGCAAGUCGAGCGAGCGGCGGACGGGUGAGUAAUGUCUGGGAAACUGCCUGAUGGAGGGGGAUAACUACUGGAAACGGUAGCUAAUACCGCAUACCAUCAGAUGUGCCCAGAUGGGAUUAGCUAGUAGGUGGGGUAAUGGCGUACCUAGGCGACGAUCCCUAGCUGGUCUGAGAGGAUGACGGGCCACGCUGGAAAUGAGACACGGUCCAGACGCGUACGGUAGGGAGCAGGGCGGAAUAGUGCAGAAUGGGCGCAGUCCUGAAGAAGGGAAGCCGGGUGGGUGAAGAAGGACUAAAGGUUGUAAAACACUUACGGUGAUGCGGCGUUACUCUUAGAAGAAGCACCGGCUAACGCCGUGCCAGCAGCCGCGGUAAUUC
rnacentral:rRNA from 1 species